GAGCCUCGUGGGCACUUCACCACCGAUGUAAAACAGUGUUAGGUGUCAAGUCUUGUGCAGGCCUUGUUUAGGCAUUCAUAGCUGCUAUGCAUUUGUGUUCAUAAUAACCUUGUUGGAUACUGGUGGCAGUAAAGGAAAUUUCAAGACAGAGUGAUAGUUUGGUCCAUGGUCAUAGACAGACGUUGCUCAAGGUCAUCUAUGUAGAAUAUGAUCAGAAGCUUAAUGCAACGUGAGCUGAGGACAUGAUGAGCAGCUAAUAUAUUCCAGUCACAUGUCCUUUCAUGCUAUAUUUGAAGACAACUUUGUAAUCGGUGUGGCGGAUGCUUCAUGUGCAGGAAGCAGUAGAAUCGGAGGACCUGUGCAGCCAUUUCGUUGACAGUUGAUGGAGACAUGGAAUUAGAGAAGCUUGUGAAUUGGAAGAAUAGUCUCAAGAAGAACUCCGAAGCAAGAGUGAUCAUCAUCAGGACAUACUACCUAUCAGGUAGAGAGUUUCCAGAUAAAGAGGUAAUCAUUGUAAUUUGGAACAUUUUUGACUUGGAAAGCAAGGUGUGGAAAAUGGCGGGCAGGUGAGAGAAUAGUUAGUUUAUCAGAAAGAAGAAGGAGGAUUUAAUGGUGGAUGUGUUUAUUUAACAGGUGUGUGGAACAGCCUUGUGAAUGUGUCCAGCAGGCUGCACAAAAUGUGAUUUCUGCUGGGUUGAUAGAUUAGGCUUGGUGUUCAGGGAAUCCUUAACAAACAAACCGCAAUAAAUGUCAGUGAAAGCACAAACAGCGACAUGACCCAGAAUGCUCAGGUGACUGCUGUGAAGAGGUCCUUCCCACAGUUUUUUUUCCCUUCAUAGCCAACACCAACAAUGGUGGAAAUCACUAUUUAUAGAACCAACUUCUCAUUGCUCUUACUUUCUCAUUAAGAAUGAACACUAUUAGGAGAAAGGGGCUGCUUGUAGAAGUAAAGAAAUUUGGGAGAAGUUGAUACAUGAAAAGAAAAAAAGCCAUUCUUUUCAGACUUGAAAGCAUAACAGCUUGGAAAAGGAGUCAGUUGUCAGUCCUACUCUUGUCCGAGUUCUCAUCCCUUUCAUGACUGCCAUCCUUGCUCACCACACUGAGUUCUUACCUGAGAUGAUACAACUGUGUGUAAACCAAGUAGGACUCGUCCUGUUUCUACUGAUAAGUGCACUCAAAGUAGCUCUCAGAUAUGUCACCCUGGGACGAUUUUAAGUCAGGGCUCUUGUGACUCUCUUUGUCUGUCCCCAGUGUUUUUCACAGAAACGUGGUAACUCACUAAAUAUAUUGUUGAACAAUUAAAACUUAAAGAAAGAAAGAAAAGAGAAAGAAAGAGGAAGAAGAUGAAGGAGGAGGAGGAGAAGAAGAA